UACGUAGGGAGCGAGCGUUGUCCGGAUUCAUUGGGCGUAAAGAGCUCGUAGGCGGCUUGGUAAGUCGGAUGUGAAACCUCCAGGCUCAACCUGGAGUCGCCAUCCGAUACUGCUAUGGCUAGAGUCCGGUAGGGGCCCACGGAAUUCCGGGUGUAGCGGUGGAAUGCGUAGAGAUCCGGAAGAACACCGGUGGCAAAGGCGGCCUGCUGGGCAGUUUGCUGACACUGAGGCGCGACAGCGUGGGGAGCAAACAGG
rnacentral:rRNA from 1 species